UACGUAGGGCGCAAGCGUUGUCCGGAAUUACUGGGCGUAAAGCGUGCGCAGGCGGUUCGUUGUGUCGGUGGUGAAAGCCCCGGGCUUAACCUGGGAAUGGCCAUGGAAACUGGCGAACUGGAGUGUGGCAGAGGGGGGUGGAAUUCCGCGUGUAGCAGUGAAAUGCGUAGAGAUGCGGAGGAACACCGAUGGCGAAGGCAGCCCCCUGGGCUAACACUGACGCUCAGGCACGAAAGCGUGGGGAGCAAACAGG
rnacentral:rRNA from 1 species